rnacentral:rRNA from 1 species
UACAGAGGGGGCAAGCGUUGUUCGGAAUUACUGGGCGUAAAGGGCGCGUAGGCGGCCUUCUAAGUCGAACGUGAAAUCCCCGGGCUCAACCCGGGAACUGCGUCCGAGACUGGAAGGCUUGAAUCCGGGAGAGGGAUGUGGAAUUCCAGGUGUAGCGGUGAAAUGCGUAGAUAUCUGGAGGAACAUCGGUGGCGAAGGCGGCAUCCUGGACCAACACUGACACUGAGGAGCGAAAGCCAGGGGAGCAAACGGG